rnacentral:lncRNA from 1 species
ACAAAAUGUAUACAGUCAACAUGUUCCGCAAUGCAUAAUAGAGGAGAAAUGAUGGACUUAAAUAUAGAAAAACGCUUGAACAUUGAAAAAUAGUUGAUUCUGAAUAAUGGAAUGGACUACUGCAACCCUUCCGUCCCUAAUCAAAGCAAAAUUUAUACACCAAAUUAAAGCCGAUUGGUAGAGGAAUAAACUGAGUAUAAACAUUAUGUGCCGCAAUGAUUAUUAGAGGGGUUUCGGAGUACCUUAAUGCCAAAAUACGCGUGUAGUUAUAGGACCCUUCAACCCUUAAUUAUAGAUCUACCUCAUUCGGAAGCCUAAUAAAGAGAGGAAGACAUAGUAUAUAGUCAAUUUAUUAUAUAAUUUAUUUCUGCUGGGACCGGACCUAAAAAUCCGAAAUAUUGCACGCUCGUUGACGAGAUUAAGCGGGCAAAACGUGGGUGGUUGGGGUUGAAUGGAAAAAAGUGGGAGGUUGGGGUCGUGGAAAAAUGAACCUUUUUGGAAGAAAGAAAACACAAAAAAAAAAACCAUAGAUGGAAUAAAGACAAUGGCUUGUAAGGUUACAAAUAUGUCUGAUCAGAGAGAGAAUAUGGCACAAGAGGUAGACAUUUUGGAAAAUACUGAUGAGGAAACUCUCAAAUGGCGAGAAGUAGAUCAGGACUCGACCUGGAUUGUCAAAGACAUUUAAGAUUUUGACACAAAGUGUGGUUCGGAAAAAUUAUAACCUUGUACUGAAAAGAGAAAACAUAUCUGCACUUGGGGAUGUGAAAGACUAAACAAACACCUUACCACCGUCUGGGCAAAGAGAGAGACCGACGGAGCUGUGCAAAUCGUGAGCUAUGGG